rnacentral:rRNA from 1 species
UACGAAGGGUGCAAGCGUUACUCGGAAUUACUGGGCGUAAAGCGUGCGUAGGUGGUUUGUUAAGUCUGUUGUGAAAGCCCCGGGCUCAACCUGGGAAUGGCAAUGGAUACUGGCAAGCUAGAGUGCGGUAGAGGGUAGUGGAAUUCCCGGUGUAGCGGUGGAAUGCGUAGAGAUCCGGAAGAACACCAGUGGCGAAGGCGGCUCACUGGCCCGGAACUGACGCUGAGGCACGAAAGCGUGGGGAGCAAACAGG